rnacentral:rRNA from 1 species
GACUUCUGGUUUAAUGCACCUGGCCCGCGGCCCAAAAGGCCUGUGAGUGCCGGCGCGCGUUUACCAUCCUUCCAGCAACGGCUACCAUUAACUUGGCGGCUGGAACUGGAUCUUUUACUUUGAAAAAAUUAGAGUGUUUAAAGCAGGCGUUUGCUCUGAAUACAUUAGCAUGGAAUAAUAAUCUAGGACUUCGGUUCUAUUUUGUUGGUUUCUAUAACUGAAGUAAUGAUUGAUAGGGAUAGUUGGGGGUGCUAGUAUUGGCCGGUCAGAGGUGAAAUUCUUGGAUUCGGUCAAGACUAACUUAUGCGAAAGCAUU